CUCUGGCUGUUUAUGACGUCUUUACACUAAAUCCAUUGGAUGUUGGAUGUGUACGGAUUGAUAGUUUAGUCUUAGUUGCAUGAUGUUUUUAUUAGUUGUUAGUGACUUUGAACUAGCUGUCAGAUAACUGCGAGUACUCUCAGAUCUGUUCAUUGUGUCUUUUUGUAUCGGAAUGUAUAAGUACCGGGCCACGUCCACUUGUAUUUUUGUCCAUCUGAUGAGUUAAGCCUUUUUCAACUGAUUUUUAUAGUUCGUUCUUAUGUUGUACUGUUAUACCACUGUCACAGGUUAGGGGGAGGGUUGGGAUCCCGCUAAUAUGUUUAACCCCGCCACAUUAUUUAUGUAUGUGCCUGUCCCAAGUCAGGAGCCUGUAAUUCAGUGGUUGUCGUUUGUUUAUGUGUUACAUAUUUGUUUUUCGUUCAUUUUUUUUUACAUAAAUAAGGCCGUUAGUUUUCUCGUUUGAAUUGUUUUACAUUGUCUUAUCGGGGCCUUUUAUAGCUGACUAUGCGGUAUAAGCUUUGCUCAUUGUUGAAGGCCGUACGGUGACCUAUAGUUGUUAAUGUCUGUGUCAUUUUGGUCUUUUGUGGAUAGUUUCCUCAUUGGCAAUCAUACCACAUCUUCUUUUUA
rnacentral:lncRNA from 1 species